AAAAGUAUAACUAUACGAUGCUAAUUUCUCAUAAAUUAAAUUACAACAGUGAUCAUCAAAAAAUUUAGGUGCGGUUCAUGAGGCAUUUGAUACACCGGGUGCAGGCAAUAAACCCUAACAGUAGAGAGGAGCGUUCGGGUUAGAAUAGGACCGACCCGUUAUCCAAUAAGCGAAUGCUUUAAGUUGCAAAUGGAUGGGGCCACGGCUGCUUCGGAUUUUGACACUAGUUCCCAUUUAUAUGGGGCUUGGGUCGAAUUGUGGGCAACAUUCUUGUUCCCCUUGAGCCCAAUGUUGUCAACCUCUUUUUGGGCCUCAGUAACGAGCCCAGUAAAUUAUGGGCUUUCUUUGAUGCCUUACAUGGGCCGGGCUAAAUACUACUCAAAGCAGUCUCCUAAUUCACUUGCAACAGUCUCCAACCAACUCUACAAUAAUAAGAGAUAUAUCCCAACAACUUAUCCAGUAGUAGUUGUUAAUUUGUUAUAACCUACGAAUCUACUUUUCAGAUUCUGAAACUGGCGAUUUUUCUCAGAAAAGGCAUUCCACAUGCACGAAGGUUAAUCUUAUUGUAAGAAAGAAUAACCUGGACUUUCUCAACUGAGUGAUACAAGGUUAUGGAUUAGUUUUACUAAUAAGGAGAAAAGUGGGGGGCUCGAGGAAAGAAUAACUAAAGCACAAAGUUCUUUCACUUGCAUUCACGUGGGACUAGUGGGCACAAGUAUAAAAUAUAAAGGGCCGCCCAAGCAACAGACCGAACUUGGUUAAAUGGCGAUGGACCUCCAACCAACUUUUCACGGUUAAAUUUCUUUACCAGUUCAUCACGGACGCUGAACUGCGUGUUCCGACGAAUCAGCACAUCUGGAAGCUGAAAAUUUUCGUUAAAAUUAAAGUCUUCAUUUGGGUGCUCCUUCGAAAGAGACUACCCACUGCCGACAGAUUAUUCAUCCGAGGCAUGCACGUAGAUCAGAACUGUGCUUUCUACGCAGUCCUCACGGAAAGCUGCGACCACCUUUUCAACGAUUGUGUUUACUUUCGGUAUCUUCUUCUCAGUAUGGGAGGACCGGACGCAAACGACGUCAGCACAGGUGACGCCAGAGGUCUCUGGGCCGAAAGUAUUGAAAUCCAUGUCGACUCGUCAAGAAAACAACACUUGAUCCUUCUGGCUGCGACUUGGUGGGUAAUCUAGACGGAUAGAAAUAACUAUGUUUUCAAUGGAAAGCCGCAUAAUGUUUCCGGGUCUCUUGAACGUCUCAAACUACUGAUCAGCAAUGGACCACAAUGCUCUAAAGCCCCUCUUAUACCUCCUUUCUUUGUUCCUCUCUCUUUUGCGACCUUAACCUUUCUUUCUCUUUUUCUUUUGCUUUUAAUUUAAUUUUCACCUUUUUUUCGGUUUCUUGGAGACCUAAGCUGUUUCCAAUUUGUACGCUCAGUUCAUUUGAUUUAAUGAAUGAAGCAGGUAGCUUGCUACUUAUUUCUCAAUAUAUAUAUAUAUAUAUAUAUAUAUAUAGAGUUCGGCUACUAUGCUAUUAAUAGCAUGAAGCACUUAGUGCUACCAAGUUUUUCACCGUUAGAUCUAUCCUUUUGAUCAUCUUAACCGCACAUCUCUUAAUUCAAUGGCCAAAAACUUGAUAGCACUAAUAACUUUGUACUAUUAAUAGUAUAUUAGCCUAGUAUGCGCACACACACACACGGUGCAAGAUAAUGAAAUGCAUCUGAUGUUAUGCCAUGCGUGAGGUUAGUUUAGCUGUUGUCUUCUUGCGUUUACAUGUUUAGUAGUUAAUGAGUAACCCAUCAAUGAUUGGAAUCAUUUGCAAACCUAACUUUGAUUCCAUUUGUGCACCCUCCCAACAAACAACUGAUUUUUUUUUUCUUUUAUACACAAGAAAGUUCAUAGAAUAAUAGCGAUGGUUGCAUCAUGUAUAUUCCUUUUGUUUCUCUUAUUUUUUUUUCAAAUUCGAGGGCAAAAUGAAUGAAUCAAAAUUUAAACCACUAUAAAAAUCUUGCAAGGCUAAAUCUUUUGAGCUGUGAUUACAGUUUCAAAUUAAUCACCUCAUGACAUUGUUCUAAAUGAGAAUGAUUUCUCUCCAGUAUACCUGUUCGUAAACUCCUUAAUUUGACACCUAGUAUGUAUGAUGUACCCCAACUUAUAAGCUUGGAUCUCAUUAUUUUAACCUCACCCAUAAACUCACCUAUAUAUAUAUAUAUAUAUAUAUAUAUAUAUUAAAUGACCCGGCUUUUAAUAUUAAAGACCUACGCACAUGGUGAGAACACUAGGAUGUGCCAAAUCCAACAAAAAAACAUAUUAAAUAGGAGUAUAUCGAUCAACAAUCAGUACCACACUAAAAAAGAAACAUAUCUUAUUUUUCUUUUUAAAUAUAAUUUCCACUACUCAAAUUAAAGUGUUACGGCUAAACAUUGACCAUUAAAAGGUAUAAAAAUAUAGUACCUAAGUCCUUUGUAAAUAUAAUACCAGUACUAAAUUAACAAUAACGGCGCUGUUAAAGUAUCGAGCGCCGUUUCUCCCCCACCAUGUGAUGUGUAGACAUUUUAAUCACUUGUUUAUCAUUCAUACUUUUGCGGUUAGCGAAUUAACUUCCGUCUUUAUCAUAGUGCCAUUCACAUGUCUCCGCUGAGUUAUUAUUCAAUUCAAUUCUUAAAUUGUUUCAACAAGUUAACACAUUUAAAAUUUAUUCAAUUUUAUAUUUAGUAUAAUUUGUUGGCAUUUUAGAUCACUAAUUAAAAAUUGAAUAUUUAAUCUUCCGCACACGUAUUUAUUAAAAAAAUUAUUUAGCUUUUAGAUUUUUAAAUAAAAAAUUAUGACCGUAGACAUGCCUGUAAAUAAUAUUAAUUUGCAUUAAAGAGGUUUGUCCUUCAUUUGCAACAUAAUUUUUACUUUAUUAAACUCUAAUCGGGAUUAGACCAUUUAAUGAAUUUUUUUUUUUUUUUGGUCAAACUAGUCGUUAUCACUAUUUAACGUGAAGGAAGAGGAAAACUCCACCUGGGCCCCACCCGCCUCAUCCUCCCCCACUUGUCGCGGCACGACUAUCAAAGCAGCAUCAUCGUCGUUAAUAUUAUACUAUCCCUGUAAUAAUCCCUCCGAAGAAAAACUCCAAUAAUGCGAAAUUAAAAAUUAAUAAUCCCGUUGUCAUCUUCCUCCUCCCAUAAAUUCCCUAUUACCCUAACCCUACCUCGGAGCUCGGCCCGUUCGGAAUCCAUGGAGCCUUACAAGUAUUCCUCCUACGAGGGCGACUCCUCUCCUCACCCCCGCGAGGUGGAGUACGAGGGCGCCGUGGCCUGGGACGACGCCACCCACUCCUCCGCCGCCGCAGCCGCGCGGGUGCGGCUCAUGGUGAGCUAUGGUGGCCGGAUACAGCCGCGCCCCGGCGACACCCAGCUCUCCUACGUCGGGGGCGAGACGAAGAUCCUCUCCCUCGACCGCUCCAUGCGCUUCGCCGCGUUCCAAUCCAAGCUCGCCGCCAUGGCGGGCGCCGACGAGGGCUCCGUCGUCGUUAAGUACCAGCUCCCCGACGAGGACCUCGACGCCCUCGUCUCCAUCACCAACGACGACGAUCUCGACCACAUGCUGCACGAGUACGAUCGCCUCCUCCUCCCUCGCUCCUCCUCCUCCUCCACCGGUUCCUCCUCCUCCCGAUCAUCCGCCCCGCGCCUUCGCGUCUUUAUCUUCCCCCCCAACCCCCCGCCGCCCCCCUCCGCCGCGCUCCUCGAGCCGAGCAGGACCGAUCGCCAGUGGUUCCUCGACGCCCUCAACUCCGCGCCGCCCCCUCCCGCUGCUUCCGCCCCACCCCCCGCCCCAGCGCCGCCGCUCCAGCAGAUCGAAAUCCCCGCCGCUCCGCCACCGAUCGCCACCGCUCCGCCACCACCCGCGGCGCCGCCGGCGCCGGCGCCGGCACCGGCACCGAGCUCCGAUUACCUCGUCGGCGGAUUCGACAGGGGCUUCGCGCAACCCCCUAUGGCGAAGGCCAAGGAUCCGCCCUUUGAAGCCGCGUGGAAGCCCGAUCCGACGAGGGAGAAUUGGCAAAUCGGAGGCGAUCCGGCCUUCUCCGCCGUCUAUCCGGUAGAAUUACAGAGGCGAUUUCAGGAAAACCUCAAGAUCACCGAUAAUCAGCCGCCACCGCAGCAGCCGCCGCCGCCGCCGCCAACGCAGAGGAUGAGCGGCGAAGAAACCUUUGCUAGGGCUUACUCUUCUCCUGACUACUACCUUCCAACUAUGCAGGAGAAGCCCCCCGCACCGUCUCCACCGGUGGGGCCAAUGCCUACUGGCUACAUGCCGGUGCCGAGGAACACUGUAAUCCCCCCCGGGAGGUUCACCUCAGCUGCCGGAGGGGACCAACAACCCGUGUACUUCAUCCCUGCUCCUACCACCGCAGGAGCUGUUUACACGCAACCGCCACCGCAGCCGCCACCGCCGCAAGGGUACCUCACCACAGUGCCGAAUUUAUCCCCUGCAAAUGUCUACCGUGAGCCGGUAGUUUACGCGAUGGCGCCGACGCCAGCACCGGCUCCCACUCAGCCGCAGGGAUCCGUAAAGGUUGUGAGCCAGCCAUCGGAAGGGGUCGGCAUGGUGCGCAUGCCGCAGGGGCCGGAAUCGACUUUGGCCUAUGCGCCACCACAAGUGGCCUACGACAGCACGGGCAGGGCGGUUUACUAUGGCGCGUUCCCGUCGUAUCAAGCGGUUACCAGCAUUCCUCUCAGCACAGAGCCUGCGAGGCCGGUGAAGCCGUCCCAGAUUUCUUGAUCACUUUGGCAGGAUGAUGCGAGAUACGUUCUCUGUUCUAUCCAUGUUGUUGUCCUUAUGUUUAAUGUUGUUUGGUUUAGUCUAAUGCUAAAGCUAUCGCAUGUAAAUACUAAUUGUUAUUGUGAACAUGAUCAUAGUGUAGAUGCAAUGUGGGAGGUGGGCAUAGUUGUACUGCUUUGUUUUCCUAAUAACAUGGUGUUAAUUUAUAACUAGAAUGUUGCAGUGGAUACUUAGAUGACACUCUGCAAGUUAGCAAGUGGGUUGAUUUAGAUAUUUGUUGCUUAAUGAUCAGACGAAACUCCGAUAUCAUUUUUUUCCCUUUUAAUUACAUCUCUGAUGUGCUUGCAAUUAGGGCGCACUGAAUCAAUGCAUUAGUCUCUUCUUCCAUUUGUUGUAUAUACAUUUUGUAAAUGCUAAUUUUCAUCACAAGUGGAAAAUAGAAAAUCUCAGUAGCAUCUUGUUUUAGACAAUCUAUCGAGGAGUCAUAUUCCACACAUCUGUCGUACGUUCGAGACUUGCUGAGGAAUUUGUCUGAUGCUGAUUCUUUUCUUCAUAACUCAAAAUUGGUGCCCUGAACACAUGAAAAGUUUGUGGUUUGAAAAGCUUUUAUGCAUAACAAAUGUGAGUUCACACUGACCCUUUGUGUUUAAAUUAGCAAUCGGAGCCUAUGUUAUGGAUUGAAGUUGUGUAGAAACACCUGGUUGAAUAGUAGAUUAGAAAUUUUACUGGGUCAUUUUGAGUCUACUUGUUCUCUUUCUGGUGUGUGUAUAUCCUUUCUAGCAGAUCCUAUGCAAAGGCAAGUGUGACGUCCACAUUUGACGAGCUAAUCACAAUUCACAACUAUCUUUUUUUUCCUCCACCUAAAGAUAACAAUUAUAACUAUUUAAAUUAUUUUUAAUGCAAUUGUUGUUGACCCACUCACAACAGAGGAAAAAGAAAAGGACGAGAAUAAUAAGAAACUAGGAAGAGUUUCUGGUACUCCAAUUACUCUACAAAUAAGUGUGGAAAGUGACAGGAUAUUUGAUCCUAUGAGAACUUCCAAGGGGGCAGGUUAACAUCUUAGCCAUAUUCAACAAUAAAUAGUACAAGAUUAACAUAAAAGAUCCUAUCAGAUAAAGGAAAAUCGAGCCACAAGAAAUCGCCCAAAUAAUAAGAAAGUUCCGGUCAAGGACCAGUUUUGCCAAAUGAGAAAUAUAAUAGUGUUAUGAGUAAAAUGGCCUUAAAUAAAAUGUAACAAGUCAUAGUUAUAUAUCAGUGCGAAAAGUUUUCGAUUUUGAAUGGCUGCAUAGAAUAACAUUGCCGGCGUAAAAGAUAACAUAAUUUUACUCUUUAGUGAACGUAUUGUUUGUACAAUAGUCUCUUUCAAAUAGAGAAGAAGAAAGAAAGAAACUUCCUCAAGAUAAGCCAAAGGGUACAUAAAUCAUGUUUGAUGGACAUGUUGAAAGAGCCACUCAACCAAUGCCAUGGAGAACUUAACAGGAAUUGCAUCUGUGUGUUGACAAAGAAAAAUGAUAUGAGUGUGAUUUAUCGCAAAUCUCGCCCUCUGGAGAUUCAUCAUGAUUUUAAUACCUUUUCUUUUUGUUGAAAGUGAUUUAAUACUAAAUAUGCCGAUUAAUUUUCUUCUUAGAUUCAGUCUCAACAAGAAAUACUGAGUUGCUCGCAUAUAACACUAGAACUGCAUUGCAGCAUUGCAUGCUUUAUCCUUUCUAUGAAUUCUGCUGCUUUUUUUUUUUAAUUAAUGAUCAGUAUUUACCCCAAAUAUUAUUAUCUAAGCUAUUACUGAGCUUGUUUGUUAUAUAAUAUGGUUUAUGUGGACUUGGACUGUUCUCACCUCCCCAACAUCAUGCAUGACCAUGGCUCAAACUAAACUACUGUACAAUGAAGCUUCAAAACAAAGCUCAUUAUACUUGGUUUGCAUAAGAAGUGCACAAUGGACUACCAUUAAAGCAAUUUGUCCAACAAAGUAACAACUUGUUAGGUUCUCUCUUACGGAAAAUAGGGGAAAAAGAAACCUAACUAGUUACACACACACAUUUACAAAUGAACCACUGAACACAUUAUUAGAAGGGACAAAACAAAAGAACAAGCUACCUAUUAGAGUCAGGGUUAGGACCACUUGGAACUUCAUGCAUGCUUGAUCAUUGAACUGAUCAAAAGUUGUGCUGGAGGAGCUCUUUGAAUGCAUUCUCAUGGAUUGAGAGGUGGAAGGAGAAAGAAGCGGCCGCUGCCGACUACUAGAGAAUGUAGGGAUAGAGAAUGUCAAGUGCUCAAAUUGGUGAAGCAGCAAAAAGAGUUUUAAUAUAGUGUUUUUAGACGAAGCACUACUCAGACAGUAUUUUAUCAAACAACACCAUAAGCAAACAGGCCAUGCAUGUGUUGACGAGGGAAAAGGCCAAGGCUCUGUAACUUUGAAUCCGUAAAUAAAACAUGACAAGAAACCACUAAACAGUGAUGGGAGAACUGAAAAGAUGAAAAGAGGGCUCUUUUUUUAGUCUACUUUGGAAUAGAUGGCUUUGGUUUGGAACUUUGUUUGCUCAUUAAAUUGAGACGACCAUGUGCCUUCACAGGUGUGAGAGGUAGCUUUAUUGCCCCAGAUUAAAGCACUGUGACUCCUGAAUCUGAUGCUACAGCGUUCCUAACCAUGAGUAGUCCAAAUAUCACACAAUGCAUGGUAUGUAUGGACAAAGUGAACAAAAGGUUGCCUUGCUCUAGCUUUGUCUUGCACAUUCUUGGAGUAGACACAAAAAGUAACGUUACAGAUCAAAAAAAGAAAAAGAAAACACAAGACUUAAUUAAAUACUUGAUUGAUUAAAUCUUUCUUGUAUUAUCUUAGUUAAUUAAUUGUGCUUACCAAGUAGAAAGGGCAUUAAUAUGAAUUCCGGAGUCACAGAUGUUUGGUUGCCGUGUUCGGGGUUAGCUAUUUGCGACAAACUCUGCACGUUGUGGUGCUCCGCUGCCGAAUAUUAUAGUAUUAGGUUUUUACCAAGGAUUCUGCAAUUCGACUGUGUCGUCGCCGACUCUCAAUUUAGGGACCACGCUGCAAAGUUGCAUCCUACUUAGUAAUAAUCACUUAUUAAGCAUCACAAUUCUCUCUCUCUCUCUCCUAACUUUAUCUUACACUGCGCUUUCUUUGUUCUUGUGCUAAUUUUUCUUCUUCUUUUUUUAAUUCUGUAUACCCGUAAUGAAAUUUCAAAUCCAGAGCGUUAUAGAAGAGGAAUUUUUGCUAGGGCCAGAUUAUCUUAUAAUUUUACCCUCAUAAACAGUUUUCGUUGAGUGAGGCUACUACUAUGAAGUGAUAAGAAAAAAAAAAAUAGUGAACUUAUCUUAUAUUUCCAAUUAAACAAAAUCGGUUACCAUAAGAACUAAAAUAUAAAAUACCAUAGGUCCAUAAUAACCUUUUUCUUAGUUGGAAUAUGGUUGCUGUAAAGAAAUUCUGCUUUUGGACUUUGGUGGGGAAUAACAAAAGAAGAUGAUAAUGUGGAAUACGGACUUUAAACACGCUUUUCCAAAGACCCAAAAAAAAAAGAAACGAAUCCUAUCCCUACUACUGCACCCUGUCAAAUUUUAAUGGCUUUUUCUCCAUAUAUAUGAAUGAACAGGGAAAAAAAAGAAAAAAAAUUGCAUAUGGGGAGCACAUUAGGAUAUGGAUAUUUAGAAUCAUGUAAUCAGAUUUCUCCAUAAUUCUCCACAAUCAAUUUCUUUGAUCAAUUAAUCCCUUUGAUUAGGUUUCUAUAAGAUUCAUUAUUAUUUCCUGUAGAUUUUGAUUCGAAUUUUGAUUUUGCUCUAUCAAGAUACAAGUUCGUGCACGAAAGAAAAAUAUCCAGCGCACUGGAUUGUAGAAAAAUAAUAAUUAAAAAAGUCUAAAAUUUUCUUACAAUGAAUGGUCUACAUAUAAUUUUUUAGAGUAUAAUACGAGUUUUGCUAGAAUACUAUCGAUAGUAAAUAGCUCGGUCUAUUAUCGAUUUAUUUUUAGUGAUAGAGCUUCCAAAUUGACUAUUGAUACUGUUAAACAUGCUCUAAAUUAUUUAAACUAUCUGAAAAUUAAAUUUCACAUUUUUUUUGAUAUUAUUCUCUUAUCCAUCAAAUGAACAAAAAAAUGAAUGGCUGAAAAUGAAUAUUCUUCAAAAAAUGAUUAUACAAUUUUUGUAUUUAAAAUCUAUCGUCUACAUCUUAUUUUAAAUAGUUUAAAAAAUUUUCUAAUAAAAAUUUAGUUGAUUUGGACCCUUCUAUACUGUUAAACAUGAAAACACACAAUAUUGGCUAUUAAAACUACAGAUUUUGUGACUCUUUAAUUGCUCGGUUAAUAAUAUUAAAAAAUUAUGAAAUUUAAUUUUUAGAUAGUUUAAAUGGUCUAAAUCAUAUUCAACAAUACCGAUUGUCGAUUUGAAAACUUUAUCAUCGAAAAUAAGUCGUUAGUAAAUCGAAUCGUUUACUAUCGAUAGUAGCCAGUGAAGCUGGUAUGAUACAUAGGAAAUAAAUACAAGAAUGAAUAUUUAUUAAGCUUAGAUAUUCGUGUAGCCAAAAAUAAUGUGUUACAUUUUUAUUUAGUGGAGUGCCGAACUACACACUAGCUAACUGUUCUAGACACUAAGGGUGCGUUUGGUUCGCAUUAUGAAAAAUUACUAGGAAUAAAAGAUAUUCGAGAAUUUUAUUACUAUUCAUUCUAUUACUAAGAAUGUGAAAUUUCUGUGUUUGGUUCACACGGUAAUAUUAAUUAGCCAUGUUAUUUAAUAUUACAAAAAAUAUACAAUUAAUUUAUUUAUUUAUUUAUUUAAUUUUAGAUAAUGUUACCAAAAGUUUCAACAUCUUUUUAGAAAAAAGAGAGAGAGAGUAUAAGAGAGAGAGAGCAUAAUUAAAAAAAUAGAAAGAAAAAUAUAGUCGAAAUUAGAGGGAGUGAGAGAGUUGAAAUUUUAGAAAGAGAAAGAGAGAGAAAGCUUAGUUUAGAGAGAGAAAAAAAGUUGAAUUUUAGAGAGAAAAAUAAGUUGAGAGAGAGAUAUAAGGUUAGAGUGUAAAGAAAAAUAAUAUCAAUUAGUCGGCGGGUAGAAAAAAAGAAAAAGAUUAGACAUAUUAUGAUUAUCCCAAUCCAUUAAUAUGAGGAUACCCACCCUCUCUCAAGGAAAUGAGAUUAGUAUUUUGGGGUGAAUCUUAUUUUCAAGUAAAUCCAAUAUUACCAACUAGAUUACUUAGUGCGUUUAGCCAAAUAUCAUUAUAUUUUUUUAUUCACAUUAGAUUACUAGAAAUCUUUAAAGGAUAGCACGAAUCAAACACACCCUAAUGGCUAAAUAUGUUUGAUUUGUGUGUAAAG
rnacentral:lncRNA from 1 species